rnacentral:rRNA from 1 species
UAGCCUGCCCACUGAUUUAGUUUAAAGGGCCGCGGUAUAUUGACCGUGCGAAGGUAGCAUAAUCAUUAGUCUUUUAAUUGAAGGCUUGUAUGAAUGGUUGGACAAAAAGUAAGCUGUCUCAAUUAUAAUAAUUGAAUUUAACUUUUAAGUGAAAAGGCUUAAAUAAAUUAAGGGGACGAUAAGACCCUAUAAAGCUUGACAAUAAUUUAAUUAUACUAUCAAUUGUUAGUAUAACUUGGUUUUAAUUAAUAUUUGUUGCGUUGGGGCGACGAGAAUAUAAUAGGUAACUGUUCUUAAAUAUUUAAUAACAAAUAUAAUUGGAAGUUAGUAUGAUCCUCUAUUAGCGAUUAAAAGAUUAAGUUACUUUAGGGAUAACAGCGUAAUCUUCUUUGAGAGUCCCUAUCGACAAGAAGGUUUGCGACCUCGAUGUUGAAUUAAGGUAUCCUUAUGAUGCAGCAGUUAUAAAGGAA